AAGGAUGAUUACCGAGUUGAUUCGGGCUCCGGCCCGAUCCUCCCACCCUUUGUGUACCUACCUCUGUUGCUUUGGCGGGCCGCGGUCCUCCGCGGCCGGCCCCCCUCCCCGGGGGGUGGCCAGCGCCCGCCAGAGGACCAUCAAACUCCAGUCAGUAAACGAUGCAGUCUGAAAAACAUUUAAUAAACUAAAACUUUCAACAACGGAUCUCUUGGUUCUGGCAUCGAUGAAGAACGCAGCGAAAUGCGAUAAGUAAUGUGAAUUGCAGAAUUCAGUGAAUCAUCGAAUCUUUGAACGCACAUUGCGCCCUUUGGUAUUCCGAAGGGCAUGCCUGUUCGAGCGUCAUUACAACCCUCAAGCUCUGCUUGGUAUUGGGCACCGUCCUUUGCGGGCGCGCCUCAAAGACCUCGGCGGUGGCGUCUUGCCUCAAGCGUAGUAGAACAUACAUCUCGCUUCGGAGCGCAGGGCGUCGCCCGCCGGACGGAACCUUCUGAACUUUUCUCAAGGUUGACCUCGGAUCAGGUAGGGAUACCCGUUCCUGAACUUAA
rnacentral:rRNA from 1 species